rnacentral:rRNA from 1 species
ACUCGAGUGGCGAACGGGUGAGUGACACGUGGGUGAUCUGCCCUGCACUUCGGGAUAAGCUUGGGAAACUGGGUCUAAUACCGGAUAGGAGCCAUCUUUAGUGUGGUGGUUGGAAAGUUUUUCGGUGUAGGAUGAGCUCGCGGCCUAUCAGCUUGUUGGUGGGGUAAUGGCCUACCAAGGCGGCGACGGGUAGCCGGCCUGAGAGGGUGUACGGCCACAUUGGGACUGAGAUACGGCCCAG